GGGCCCGCACAAGCGGUGGAGCAUGUGGUUUAAUUCGACGCAACGCGAAGAACCUUACCAGCUCUUGACAUGCUUGGUUAUCGGAUCCGGAGACGGAUCUUUCAGUUCGGCUGGACCUUGCACAGGUGCUGCAUGGCUGUCGUCAGCUCGUGUCGUGAGAUGUUGGUUAAGUCCCGCAACGAGCGCAACCCUCGCCUUCAGUUGCCAUCAGUUCGGCUGGGCACUCUGGAGGAACUGCCGGUGACAAACCGGAGGAAGGUGGGGAUGACGUCAAGUCCUCAUGGCCCUUAUGAGCUGGGCUACACACGUGCUACAAUGGCGGUGACAAUGGGCUGCAACGGGCGACCCCGCGCUAA
rnacentral:rRNA from 1 species